GCAAGUCGAGGGGCAGCAUAGGACUUCGGUUCUGAUGGCGACCGGCGCACGGGUGAGUAACGCGUACACUACCUACCUUUAACAGAGGGAUAGCCCUGGGAAACUGGGAUUAAUACCUCAUAGUAUUACUAGUUUGAUUAAUAAGUAAUUAAAGCUCCGGCGGUUAGAGAUGGGUGUGCGUUAGAUUAGCUAGUUGGUAAGGUAAUGGCCUACCAAGGCGACGAUGGGUAGGGGGCGUGAGAGCGUGGCC
rnacentral:rRNA from 1 species